ACGCCUAACAAUGCAAGUCGAACGGUAACAGGAAGCAGCUUGCUGCUUUGCUGACGAGUGGCGGACGGGUGAGUAAUGUCUGGGAAACUGCCUGAUGGAGGGGGAUAACUACUGGAAACGGUGGCUAAUACCGCAUAACGUCGCAAGACCAAAGAGGGGGAACCUUCGGGCCUCUUGCCAUCAGAUGUGCCCAGAUGGGAUUAGCUUGUUGGUGAGGUAACGGCUCACCAAGGCGACGAUCCCUAGCUGGUCUGAGAGGAUGACCAGCCACACUGGAACUGAGACACGGUCCAGACUCCUACGGGAGGCAGCAGUGGGGAAUAUUGCACAAUGGGCGCAAGCCUGAUGCAGCCAUGCCGCGUGUAUGAAGAAGGCCUUCGGGUUGUAAAGUACUUUCAGCGGGGAGGAAGGUGUUGCGGUUAAUAACCGCAGCAAUUGACGUUACCCGCAGAAGAAGCACCGGCUAACUCCGUGCCAGCAGCCGCGGUAAUACGGAGGGUGCAAGCGUUAAUCGGAAUUACUGGGCGUAAAGCGCACGCAGGCGGUCUGUCAAGUCGGAUGUGAAAUCCCCGGGCUCAACCUGGGAACUGCAUUCGAAACUGGCAGGCUUGAGUCUUGUAGAGGGGGGUAGAAUUCCAGGUGUAGCGGUGAAAUGCGUAGAGAUCUGGAGGAAUACCGGUGGCGAAGGCGGCCCCCUGGACAAAGACUGACGCUCAGGUGCGAAAGCGUGGGGAGCAAACAGGAUUAGAUACCCUGGUAGUCCACGCCGUAAACGAUGUCUACUUGGAGGUUGUGCCCUUGAGGCGUGGCUUCCGGAGCUAACGCGUUAAGUAGACCGCCUGGGGAGUACGGCCGCAAGGUUAAAACUCAAAUGAAUUGACGGGGGCCCGCACAAGCGGUGGAGCAUGUGGUUUAAUUCGAUGCAACGCGAAGAACCUUACCUGGUCUUGACAUCCACAGAAGAAUCCAGAGAUGGAUUUGUGCCUUCGGGAACUGUGAGACAGGUGCUGCAUGGCUGUCGUCAGCUCGUGUUGUGAAAUGUUGGGUUAAGUCCCGCAACGAGCGCAACCCUUAUCCUUUGUUGCCAGCGGUCCGGCCGGGAACUCAAAGGAGACUGCCAGUGAUAAACUGGAGGAAGGUGGGGAUGACGUCAAGUCAUCAUGGCCCUUACGACCAGGGCUACACACGUGCUACAAUGGCGCAUACAAAGAGAAGCGACCUCGCGAGAGCAAGCGGACCUCAUAAAGUGCGUCGUAGUCCGGAUUGGAGUCUGCAACUCGACUCCAUGAAGUCGGAAUCGCUAGUAAUCGUGGAUCAGAAUGCCACGGUGAAUACGUUCCCGGGCCUUGUACACACCGCCCGUCACACCAUGGGAGUGGGUUGCAAAAGAAGUAGGUAGCUUAACCCCGGG
rnacentral:rRNA from 1 species